rnacentral:lncRNA from 1 species
GUGUCAUCAUGCUUGUACAUCCCAGACCCCACUUUCCUGAGGGUACCAUUAGACAACGGGACACCAAGAUCCAGCUUCCCUAUGGACCAUGGAGUGUUUCCUGUGCCCAAGAAAUGGACUGUCCCCAGUCACCAGGGCUUGAAUGAGCGUAAAGAUGAGCGAUUCCUGAAGGACCUAGACUUCCUUUCCUCUGAACCUUGAUGCCGUCCAGGCCAUGAUGGAUGAUGAAACCAGGAGGGCCCUGGCUGAGUCGUCAGAGGAAGACUCUGAAGUCAGAGGAUCCCCCAAGAAGCUCAGACACAUGUGGUGCAUGGUUGUCUGGCAAAGUGGGAGGAUGUUCCCUGCCUGACUCCUGUCCUCUGGCAGCCCCGAUGGGCCCAUUUUGGGUCAUUUCACUCAUAAUAUCUGCAAAGAGCUGGACAUGACUGAGCAGCUGAGCACACACUUAAACACAUCAGAGUGACGUCAGAAUCCCCAUCCUUUGGCUUCAGCUGUGGUGAAGGCAGAGCUGUUCUCAGAACAUCAUUGAAAGUGUUUUCUUAUAAAGAGCCCACUGCACGUGCCCUUGUCGGUCUAAGCAUGAGGGUGAGAAAAAUAACCCAGGGAGCAGGCAUGAAUUUAGCAGCGAAUCACACCCCCUCUGAUUUCGUGGAUGGUGACCAGACCUCCCACCAGGUAUCCUGACUGAGAAGAGAAGGGGCC